CUUACGCACCUGCAUACCAAAACACAAGCUUUUUUGGAAUUCAUAUCAUGUUCUUAAUCUCAAUUUUCAUUAGUCCAUCAUGAUUUUUUUUUCAUAAGUGUAUCUUUGAUGGUGGAGCAAGUUUUCGAGCAAGUUUUCACCUUUACACCAAAACACAAGCUUUUUUUGGAUUCAUAUCAUGUUCUUAAUCUCAGUUUUCAUUAGCCCAUCAUGAUUUAUUUUUGGUAAGUACAUCUUUGAUGGUGGAGCAAGUUUUCGAGUAAGUUUGGAGCAAGUUUUCGAGAAGGAAGUGGAGAAGAGUCAAAGAAGUUGAAGCUCUAUUAGUAUUGGAGGAGUUCAUAUGCAUUUCGUGUCCGAAUAGCACUCAAUUUGAAAGAUUUUUUAUCUUUUAAAAAUUUUACGAUUGCUUUCUCGUUCAGAGAAAAAAAGGAAUUAACCCUUUUUUCUGUUUGUCGUUGUUAGGAUUGGAAUAUGAGUAUAAAGUUGUUGACUUGCUUAAAGGAGAACAAAGCGAUCCUGACGUAUCCGCGGUGGUUGAUGGAGAUGCAGUAAUUGCCGACUCUUUUGCUAUCAUAAUGGUAUGAUUUUUUUGUGCUCUGCCAUUUGAGUGUGUAAAUUUUAUCAUUACUAUGUUGUUGGUGAUGAGAAGAUUUCUUGGGAAGUAUCUGAAAGAGAAGUAUCCCCAACGAGCAUUGUUGCCUCAGGAUCAUCAGAAAAAAGCAAUCAACUAUCAGAUAUGAGUACCAUGGUUAUUAUGGAGGUGAAGAAGCAGAGAGAGAGAAUAACUACACUGACAUGGAUGAAUGUGAAUGUAGGUGCUACUGAAUUAGGAGGACAAUAGAAAACAAAGCUUCUAGAAAAUGAGAGCUUGAAAGGUGAAGAUAGACAAAAAGAUCCUUUCCUCUCAUUUAAACUUUUUGUUAAAUAUGAUUUGUCAUUCUAAAUUUAUGGAAUUUUCAUUUUCUUUAUCGAUCAAUUUGUUCUAUAAUUUUCUUUUUGCCUAAAAUUGGCAUAUAUCCAAUAUA